CUUUCUUGUUGGUUUUAGAUUCAGCCUGCCAAACCCCAAGAGCACACUUUCUAGGAAAUGCUACAGUGAUCAGACAUUUGCCACAGGUCUGUCUGGCCUCUGCCCGAUGACUUUCUCUUGGAACUUCAAGGCAGAGCUUCUCCACCAC